rnacentral:rRNA from 1 species
UACGUAGGCAGCAAGCGUUGUUCGGAGUUACUGGGCGUAAAGGGUGUGUAGGCGGUUCCCUAAGUUUGGUGUGAAAUCUCCCGGCUCAACUGGGAGGGUGCGCCGAAAACUGGGGGGCUAGAGUACUGGAUGGGAGAGUGGAAUUCCUGGUGUAGCGGUGAAAUGCGUAGAUAUCAGGAGGAACACCUGUGGUGUAGACGGCUCUCUGGACAGUAACUGACGCUGAGACGCGAAAGCGUGGGGAGCGAACAGG